ensembl:lncRNA
CAGGCGUGUCCAGGUGUGAUACGUAUGAGCCGAGAUAUACAGCUGCGUCAUCACGGCAGACAACUCGCUUUGCGCAUGCGAGAGCCUCCAGCGGACCAGGACGCACGCCGCACACAUUGAUCCCAUUGAUUUCGCCGUUUACAAUGGCGAAAUCCACGAAGAAAACCAAAUAUUACACACACGAAGAAGCCCUUGCUUUGAUUUUGGCUUCAUCCGAGGACAGCCAAUAUGAUUCCGAGAUAGAGGACAUGUUCAAGAAACAAUUGGACGACGUCUUAGAUCGGUCAAUGUCUGAGGACAGUGAUGCGGAUUGGGAGCCGCAAAGCCAGACAGGCAGACCCCCGGCCCCCACUCCUACUGAAGGUGGUCGUGAGAGAUACCUCCCCCGCUGCAUCGCCCACCGCCACACCAACGACUGGCCGUUCCCGUGCUGCACGACGUGUCCGGGGGAGGGGCAGUAUGGGACUGUGAGGUUGCCGCCAUCUGCCUGUUGCUUCACCUGUUGCCUCCAACAUCCAAGGGCAAGAAGUCUGCAAAGAUCAGCGCAACGGAUGCUACUGUCCGCCUGGUGAAGUUCCUUAAGGUGGGGAGAAGCAUGGAGACCUUCCUGAAGGAAACUGGCCCUGCUCAGCCCUUUCUCCUGUGUGUUGGAGAACGAAAAAACAGCAUCCAGAAUUUCUACAUCAUCCUGGACCAAAAGGCCAUUCCCUCCAAGACGCAGACUGGAGUUGCUGCCUUUGACGAGCUCUUCAAGGCACAUUUUGCUUUUGCUGUGUCCUAUGAUGAGGCGCUAUCCAACUUCUACACCA